GUGUCGACCAAUGGAGAAGAGAUGUGAUAUUCAUUGAAGCUGUUCUUUCUGGAGCAGCUGACAAUAAAGUAGUCAUGUGAAGCCGUGAAGGAGCACUAUUUCGACAACAAAGGAAGGAAAGCCAGUCACGGUCACAACGAGACCCAGCUAUGUAUGAUGAGUCACAGAAAGGUGAGGUACUAUCACGAUGGAAGGAAAUCAAUGACAAGGAGCAUUUGUCAUGCAAGAGAAGAGUGUGGCCGACAAAACGGGGAAAAUCGACAGAAGAGAGAUGCUGAUUGCAAUAACACCUGUAAGGAAAUUGCAAUAAAAGGCAUGAUUGGUAAGUGUUACGACAAGAGAAAGGUGUUGGUGAAGAAAGAACUACAAGAGCAAGGGCUCUAUCAAUUGUUCGUGAUCGAAAAAGGGAAAGGACAGUGUUGGUGAAGAAAAAGGAUGCUGAGAGCAGGGGCUCUAUCGCAUGUCAGUCUUGAAAAAAGAUGACAACGACAUGGGAGGAAACUAUCAUGUUGUAAAGGGAGACAACUAUAAGAAGAAAAAGAAGGAACCUUAGUUUCAUGAGAAGGAAUGAACUUAUUACAAUCAAGUAAAUCAAAACAUAAUAAAAAGGUAUAUUCUUUUAACACUCUUUGGUUUAGAUACUAAAGAGUAUGCAGGUAUCAAAAGACGAUGAUCAUUUGUCAUAUCCUCUGAAAGUCCUGCCUUCACUCUUUCCCUUGAAAAGAAUAGCAUCCUGGAGAAUUUUUGUGCAAAAUUCAAUCUCUAUAUCCAAUUUUAGCUCCUUGUCUUCAAUCAGUCGGAAAUUGUUGCUGCAAGGAAAGAGAGAUACAGUUUACACAACUUCAAACGAUGGAUUUUCCUAAAAAAUCUAAGGUAAUAAGUGUUGGUGGAUCUAGUCUAAAAUGGUCAAAACCCAUUGAAAAUCGUUUGAAGAAAGCUAAUGAGGUAAGGCCUUAAUGCAUAGUGACAGACCUUUUUUUAUUCUUUUUCUUGGAACUUUAACUGUUGUUGAUAGAUAGAACUACGCAUUUCUGAGCUUACAAUGAGAUAUAAAUGAAACAAGAAAGAAAAUAAAUAAAACACUAGAUUUUCUAUGUGGUUCUAGUUCAGUGUGAUGAUUCAAAAGUUUAGGUCUAUAGUGCAGCUAUUAGUUGAUACACGAGAAAAUAAGCUUUUAUAUAUGUUUCUAUAGAUGUGUUAGGCUUCUGCCCUUCUUUUUAUUAAUGGUUUAUAUUCAUGGGACUUGACAUGAGAAGUCACAUUCAAAUAAGACUAUAUUAAAAAAUAAUUUUAUGAAUUUAUUCAUAUUUUAAUUAAGAUAAAAAGUAAAUAUUUACAAUAUCAAAAUUAUCCCAACUUGUAAAAGUGAAGAUAGAUAGUUUUUAUUUGUUGUCAGCGAAAAGACUUUUAGUAGAUUCUGAACUGAUUUACUGCUAAACAGAGAUCUUCUUCUUGUUGUGGGCUGGAAACUCUAUCCGAGUUCUUUGUGAUUUAGUGAACAGGGGAUAGAUUGCUAGUAUUGCGGCUGGUCACCACGUCGUAAUUACUAGGACAAGUUUCUUUGAAGAGAUGCUUCUCGGAAAGAUACCUUGCGGGCAGGAGUAACCUCUAAAAAUCAACUAAAUGGUUUUUUGCAGUUAAAAUGUGCUUAAUCAAUAUUAUUUUUUUUGUUCAUUAUAGGAAGCUACAUUGGCAGUAAAUCUCUAGAGAGCAAAAUGGUUUAAAAUCCUUUGCUCCUGAGACAAAGAGCUGAAGUCAUUCUUCCCAUAAGUCUCUAAAGAGCUUACAGCUUUUUCAAUAUAGAUCAAUGUUAAUCUUGAUUUCCUGAUGUGUUGUUAAUUUUGAAUAUUGUCACGUUUUUUAUGUGGAUUUUGUAACACAUUCAAUUUCAUGUUCAGUGCAUUUUUUACCAGGAUGCUUUGAAGAUUAUAACUUUAUGAUGAUAGUUUUCUGAUUAUGUAAUUUUGUAAUUGAUUUUAAGUAUAUAAUGCUUUUCCAGGAGAAUGAAUAUUUCGCAUUGGUUCAGUUGGAUACAAAAUGGAUUCUUCAAGAUGGACCCUUCAGAGGAUAUCAGGUAGUACCCAGUUUAUUUAUUUAUUGUUACUUUCAGUUGUCUCCAUCUAACUGGCCAAAGCAGCUUUAAUGGAAGUUAAUUUUGCAUACUGUCAUGUUUUUUAUGUGGAUUUGGAAAACGCAACAAGAAAGAUGAAAAAUGUCCAUAUAUUCACGAUCCCUCCAAAAUUGCAGUGUGCACAAAGUUUCUGAAUGGUUUAUGUUUCAAUUCCAACUGCAGGUUGACUCAUAAGGUCAUACCAGAAAGAAUGCCGGAUUGUUCUUAUUUCUUGCAGGGUGCAUUGUUUUGCUAUGUUUUAUUUUAAUUUAGGCUACUUUCUGCUUGAAAAUAUAGAGAUAAGAUAACCUACCUUUACCCCUUCUAUGUUAUUUUUUAUUUUGUAGGACUUCUUUUUAUUGUUUACAGUGUACAUCAAUACAAUUUUACGGGAAUUUAGAAAUGAAAUGAAAAUACAAAAGC